rnacentral:rRNA from 1 species
AAUAGAUACCCCGGUAGUCCAUGCCGUAAACGUUGGGAACUAGAUGUAGGGCCUGUUCCACGGGUUCUGUGUCGUAGCUAACGCAUUAAGUUCCCCGCCUGGGGAGUACGGCCGCAAGGCUAAAACUCAAAGGAAUUGACGGGGGCCCGCACAAGCGGCGGAGCAUGCGGAUUAAUUCGAUGCAACGCGAAGAACCUUACCAAGGCUUGACAUAUAGAAGAACACCGUAGAGAUACGGGACUCUUUGGACACUUCUAUACAGGUGGUGCAUGGUUGUCGUCAGCUCGUGUCGUGAGAUGUUCGGUUAAGUCCGGCAACGAGCGCAACCCUCGUCCUAUGUUGCCAGCACGUUAUGGUGGGAACUCAUGGGAUACUGCCGUGGUCAACACGGAGGAAGGUGGGGAUGACGGUCAAAUCAUCAUGCCCCUUAUGUCUUGGGCUUCACGCAUGCUACAAUGGCCGGUACAAAGGGCUGCGAUACCGUAAGGUGGAGCGAAUCCCAAAAAGCCGGUCUCAGUUCGGAUUGAGGUCUGCAACUCGACCCC